rnacentral:lncRNA from 1 species
ACAUACUGUGUAAAAAAACAUUAAACCAAACACUGUUAAACAUUGGCAACCUAAUAUGCAUAUAUUCAUGAACGCAUCAGUAUAUAAAAAUGCAGCCUCUAAAUUAAACACAAACAAAACGCAUUUGGAUCCCGAUUGAUAACCGACAAAUGCAAUAUUAAAACAUAUGUAUCGACACUUCAUAUUAAGUCGGCAUGAAGGCUCUUGCGGGAUAACAAUCAAAAUGGUACUAUAACGAUUUAUAUCCAAACAACUCUCUUAAAAAUCAGUCCAACAAUGUUGAUAAUCCCUCGGGCCGAUUCAUACGUGAUCGAAACACAACGAACCGAUACCGAACUGUUUGUAUUAUUCCAGAAUUGAUGCAACUUUCCUUCUACAUUUCAUGAAUAAAUAUCCUGCAACUUAAAAUUGAUACUCACAAUAGUCAUAACAACAUGAAAACAAAGAUUAACGCCAUUUGCUUCUCCACACAAUAUAUUCUAUAAUACGCACAACAAGAAUAUAUUUUAUCAACACACAGAGGAUUAAGAAUAUGCGAUGCAAUGUUAGAUUUGUGCAGUUAAAAAAUCAAAUUAAAAUUUUAAACUUGAAAUGAAAAGAUUACCGAUGCUGAGUUGGUUACCGUAACGACAACUGAAGGGGCUCAAAAUUUCCUCAGAAGCUUUAUGGUGGUUUGCUGAUUUCGUUGAGGACUUCGGCGGCGACGGAUUCUGGCGAUGGCACGGUGACGGCGUUUGAUGGAUGAAGGGGUGGUUGCCGACGCGAAUCGCGAAUGGAGAGGAAGGUGGAGGAUGUAAUCACCGGCGUUACCGCAAUGGAGAAGGUUGCGUGUUUGGUGGUCGACGGUGUGAAUAGUGAAUUCGAACACGAACGGAGGUUUGUCGGUGAUGAGCUGAGCCGUGUCGAUUCCGGCGGAAGGAAAAUAGAUGAGCGAGGCGAUGGUGUCGAUGUGGUGUUCCGCAGCGGGUUUUGAAGGUGUGCCGACAAUGGUGUUUUUUUUCGCUGGUUUUGUGGGGGAUUUGGACGGGGCUUGGUGGUGGAUGGCGGACGAUUGAGGGUGCACCGGUGAGCACCGCGACGAGGUUGAAGGGGUCGCGGUGAUAUGAAAAGGGGGUUACGUUAGUUUGUGUGAUUAGGUUUUCCGACGAGCGGCGGAGAGUUUUUUUUUGCUUGAUGGCGAUGGAAAGAUGAAGAAGAAGACAAGGUUCUUCUCCUUUCUCAGAGAGAGAGAGAGAGAGAGAGAGAGAGAGAGAGAGAGAGAGAGAGAGAACCGUGAGUCUGUCUCUUUUUCAAUUUUCUUUUUUUUUUUGUUUCUUCUUUUCGCUUUUUUAGAGUGUGCCAGUCUGUGAAAGAGAACCGUGAGUCUGUCUCUUUUUCAAUUUUCUUUUUUUUUUUGUUUCUUCUUUUCGCUUUUUUAGAGUGUGCCAGUCUGUGAGAGAGAGAGAGAGCUUAAGAGAGAUUGAAGAGGGGAAUGGGUGCCCUGUGUAAUGAGUGUGAGAGAGAGUAUAUGAGUGAGAAAACGUGUAGUGGAGAUGAACCUCUCUCUUUUUUUGUUUUUAAUCCUUUCCUUUAUUUUUUUGUCAGAGAGAGACGUUGGGGAAAUUAAUGUGUGACUAUCCCCUUUUCAUUUCCCCCUAUUUUUUGUGGAUGGAAACAGCUUGCAAAAAUCCAACAAAAAAAUGAGUUGUUGCUAGUUGUCAAUUGCCAAUGGAAUCCAAUGUCAAAUGUAUUUUAUUAUUAUUUU